CGCUCCGGGGGCAGGAGCGCAGCUGGGCGCAGCUGGGCACGGAAGCGUGGGGCGGCGGCGAGUCCCAGCUCGUCGCGUUUCGCCCCCGGCGGGGGCCUCGGUUUCUGCCCCCACGGAAAUGCCGCCCGUGGCACCGCCCAUCUCUCGCUCGGUUUGCCGGCCUGUGCAAUGGGUCGAGGCCGUGCGCCACCGGACCCAGAAAAGGGCGUUUCUUCAGCACGCACUGUCAAGCGCCUCCUGCGUGCAGGGAGCGCGAGUGGAGGGCGCCGGCCCGGGGCUAGAAAGCCAGCACUUGGUGGACACUUUGAAUCGUACUCCUGGGCUGAGGCCCAUUCCCACUGGGCUAGCUUCUCGAGCCCUACCUCGUGCGGAGGUCAGGAGGACCCUGCGUACACCUACUGUGUGCCAGCUGCCGUUGAGCGUCCCGGGGAGGAGAAACGUCGAGCCCGAUCCCCAGGACCUCUUGUUCUCCCGAGGGAGAAGACAGUAAACUGAGGAGAAUGACCCUAAGCGUCACUAUAAGAUUUGGGUCUCUCUGGCUCCACGCAAGGAAUGGACCCAGUGACCGUGCAGAGGCAGGACACCAGGGACAGGUGCUGAAAUAGCCCAGGGUCCCAGCCUCGACCUCCGCGAACCCAUUCGAUCAUCACAACAUCGCAGAAAGAUGGGAACUGUUAUCACAUCUAUUCAUGGAUGGGGAAACUGAGGCCCAUCGAGGUGAAAUCACUUGCCUGGGAUCACACAGGAGGCAAGCUGCAAAGGCAGGAUUUGACCCCAGGCAGUCAAGUCCAAGGCUCGUGCUUUUAACCACUCUACUGUCUCAUGAGGAGCUCACCACUGACGGUACACAGAUCCUCUCAACCACCUGCUGAGGUGUGAACUAAGACCAUGCUCCCUUAACAGGAAGUCCUCCCUGUUUCUGCCCCCAGUUGCUGUUGUUUGUUUAUGGGUGUGUCUGUCUCACUGGAACGUCAGCUCCUUGAGGGCAGGGACUCCGUCUUCCUUGCUCACCCAGCACAGCACCUGACACUUUGGCUGAAUCAAGUAUUAGCCAGCUUCUCGUGUGUCACCCGGAAGAAGCCUUCCCUGAUAGCACUCCUCACUGUCUGCACUUCAUUGUGUGGCCACUUGAUUCAGGGUCUGUGUCCCCUCUGGUCCCAAGAAGGCAAGGCCUGUGGCUGCUCUGUUCACCCUUGAUUCCCCAGUGCCUGGAACGGUGCUUGGAACUGAGGUCUAACACCGCUUGACACGUAAGAGGCAGCAGGGAACGGGUGUGGAACAAAUGAAUGAACAAGCCCUUCCUCCCAUCCAUCAGAACUGCCUCUUGCGCUGGGAGCUCCAGGAGGUCAGGAGCAAAUCUGAUUUCUAGUGCCUCUGAGCCCAGCCUAGGGCUUAGCCCAAGGGAGAUGCUCGCGGACAAACCUGAGGCUCAGAGAGGCAGCCGCUGACCCCAGGUCCCACAGCCAGGAGGAGGAAGAGCCAAGGUUCAAGUCAAGAUGUGUUUCGUUCCAGAACCAAGCUUGGCCUCACCGGGCCAGCGCUCCCCAGCAGGCAGAACUAAAGAGGACCACUGGUGUCACCCUGGCAGUUUACCCAGCUCUGCAAGGGAUGCGUCAGAGCCGGGGGCCCAGUUCUAUCAGAACGCAAGCCUGGUUCUCGCCCCUCGGCCCGUUACCCACAAGUCCACCUGGAUGUCAUUACCUGAUGCCUACUGUGUGCCAGCACUCUGCUGGGUGUGGGGGACCUAGGCAUGGCCGUCCCUGUCUCCUGGAACUCACGACACAGGGGGGAAGGCAGAGGGUCAUCAGAUCAGUACACAAAUACAUCAUCACCAACGUGGGUCAGCGCUAAGAAGAAAAGAUGCCUGGUGCCCAGACGUCAAGGAAUAGAAGAAGCCUGCGAGGGUAGACUCCAGAAUGUCGAAGGGGUCGUAAGAUUUCAGCAGCGUUGAGGGACAUUUGAAAUUGGCAACCCACGGAUUCACGGAGCAAGUCUUUUCUGAGCACCUACCGUGUACCAGACCCCGUCCUUGGUGCCGAGGUCCAGCAGAGGAGCACGAGCCCCUCCUGGGUCGUCAGGAGCUAACACUCUAGUGGGGGAAAGUGGACCAUAAACAAGAAAGAAGACCAGGGUCAUUUCAGACGGUGGCAAAUGUGGCUGUGAGGAGGCGGAAGGGCUGUUACAGAGAGGUGUCCGAGAGGGGCUUUCUGAGGAGGUGAAGCCUGAAGGGUGACAAGGAACCAGCCUUGGGAAGAGGCAGAGUGAAAGGUUCUAGGUAGAGGCAACAGUGUGUGCAAAGGCCCUGAGGCAGGCAUUUGCAUGGACCGUUGAGGCACAGCAGGGAGGCCUGUGGCUGGAGCCAGGUGAGGGCACAGGAGAGGAAAAGGAGACGAGGUAGAAGAUGUGUCAGGGCUUUGCAUGUACUUGGGGGGCGGGGGGGGGGGUGUCAAGGGGGUAUUUUGAGCAGAAGGGACACAGGUUAGGUUCUAACAGGAUCCCUUUAGAGGCAGUGGUCAGCUGAAUGAUGUCCCCCAAAGCUGCCCACAUCUUAAUCCCCCAAACCUAUGAAUGUUAACUUUCUUAGGCAAAAAGGAAUUUCACCGCUGUGACUUAGUUACGGAGCUUGAGGUGGGAGAUUGCCCUGGAUUAUCUGAGUGUGCUCAGUAGAAUCACAGGGGUCCUUGUAAGAUGGAAGCUGGGGG